rnacentral:lncRNA from 1 species
CCCCGCCCCGCCCCCGGCCCAGUCCCGCGUUCCUGUGAGGCCUCCGCGCCGCUCCGGAUGCCGCUCCUCUAGGCGCGAGGUCUUCCAGGGCCCUGCCCGGGCGCGCCGUUCGGGUCUAGGCGGGCCUCCUUCCCGGUGCUGACCCGGGCCUGUGCGAAGCGGGAUCUCUCGGGCGUCCCUCUCUUUGUCACCCCUUCCCCCGCCACGUGGAGGUGCCUCAGCCGCCUGAGCUCAGCCUGCCUGCGCCUGGAUUUUUAAGAAGGGGAAACCAAGGACAGAAGCCGCCCCCUAGGACGACGCGCCCGAGCCACCGGGAGGGUCUGAACGGCGGGGGCCUCCUGGAGCGCCUUCAGCGCCUCGUGUUUUCUUUCCUUGGGUCCCUGUUAGCGUCGCCGCAUGCACAGCGCUCCCUGUCAUUUGGUCCCUGAGCUUGGGUGUUUUUCACAUUUCAUCUAAAGAUGCAGACCCCUGCUAAGUCUAGCCAGCCUUCACCCUGAAUCUUGAACUUAAGAUGCUGCAUUUUCCACCCACCCCCACCCCUCUAGUAGCUGCAGAUUGACAAGCGGCUUUUCCCAACCAGAUGACAUUUUGGCUGCAAGAAUCCGUGGCCCGUUCUUGCCUCUGUGCAGCCAAGCUCCUUCGCUGUCUUUCUCAAACUGCAGUCCUGAGUUCAGCUUCGCUUAGCAGUGACCAUCCCAGAGAGUUCCUACUGUUUCUCAGAGUAUUUAAACAUUUCUGCGGCAAGUAUGGAAGAAAAGACAAAUGAAAGCCCCAAAUUGUGACAAGAGGAGCAUUGUACUAGGAGCCCAAGGGCUACAAAGGUGAAUGAAUCACUCUCCUUACCCUGAGGAGCCAGAACUCUAGGAGAAAUGGAACCCGGUCCACAUCCCCUCUGCAGUUGGAUCCUAGGUCAUCCUGCCUUAACAACCAACCUGUGUUCUCUGUUUCUUCUGUAUCUAUUUCAGGAAGCCCCCAAUAAAUGUUAACCACUUUUCUGAUGACUUGGUGAAAGAGGAAG